rnacentral:misc_RNA from 1 species
UACGAAGGGGGCUAGCGUUGUUCGGAAUCACUGGGCGUAAAGCGCGCGUAGGCGGAUUGUUAAGUCAGGGGUGAAAGCCCGAGGCUCAACCUCGGAACUGCCCUUGAUACUGGCAAUCUUGAGUCCGGGAGAGGUGAGUGGAACUCCUAGUGUAGAGGUGAAAUUCGUAGAUAUUAGGAAGAACACCAGUGGCGAAGGCGGCUCACUGGCCCGGUACUGACGCUGAUGUGCGAAAGCGUGGGGAGCAAACAGG